rnacentral:rRNA from 1 species
GACGAACGCUGGCGGCGUGCCGAAUACAUGCAAGUCGAACGCAGGGGGGACGGGUGAGUAACACGUGGGUAACCUCCCAUCAGAGGGGAUAACACUUGGAAACAGGUGCUAAACCGAUACUGAUGGAUGGACCCGCGGUGCAUUAGCUAGUUGGUGAGGUAACGGCUCACCACGGCCACGAUGCAUAGCCGACCUUAGAGGGUUAUCGUCCACACGGGGACUGAGACACGGCCCAUACUCCUACGGUAGGCAGACGUAGGGGAUCUUCGGCAAUGGACGAAAUUCUGACCGAGCAACGCCGCGUGAGUGAAUAAGGUUUUCGGAUCGUAAAACUCUGUUGUUAGAGAAGCGGUAUCUAACCAGAACGCCACGGCUAACUCCGUGCCAGCAGCCGCGGUAAUUC